AAUAAUUAUAAAAAUAUAAAAAAGCUGUAUACAAAAAUAAAAUCACAUCUAUCUACGGCUGUAAAUUAAAAUAAAAAAUGUUACAGUCACAAUGACAGAUCGACAGAUUGACAGAUUGACAGGUUUCCGCCAGGAUCAUGUCAACAUAAACUAAAAUUUCGUGAUGAUUUUUUAUUAAAAUAUAUUAUGAUUGAUCCUAUAUCGGCAUUCUUGCUUGGUUCUUGCUUAUUCGCUUGUUGGCCAUGCUACCUCCCAUGCUGUCUGUUUUUGCCAUUCGUACCGUACCCAUUUCUAAUAAUACACGAUCCGAAGAAAGAAAAAGAUGGUCAGAGACCAUACCAACCUAUUUCGGCGAACGACCAAGUAUACUACUUAGAGAUGACGCCAAGCGGUUUUUUCCUAAAGAAAAGGAGGAGAAAUUCUACUGUGUAAAAAAUCUAUUUUAAAUAAAACAUAACAAACAAAAUAGCUUAUUGACUACCAAAAAACAUAGCUGAAACGAAAAUGCAG